rnacentral:rRNA from 1 species
GACGUAGGGGGCCAGCGUUGUUCGGAAUUACUGGGUGUAAAGCGCGUGUAGGCGGGAGGAUGUGUCGAACGUGAAAGGCUGCGGCUCAACCGCAGAGCGCCGUUCGAAACUGCCUUUCUUGAGGGCCGAAGAGGAGAGUGGAAUUCCUGGUGUAGCGGUGAAAUGCGUAGAGAUCAGGAGGAACACCCAUGGCGAAGGCAGCUCUCUGGUCGGUCUCUGACGCUGAGAUGCGAAAGCGUGGGGAGCGAACGGG